rnacentral:lncRNA from 13 species
GGUAGGAAAACUAGUCAGGAGACUCUUGCAACAGUCCCACCGAGAGAUGAUGUGGGUGUGAAUUCACCACUAACCAGGCUUGGAAAAAGGUUUCACAAAUAAGAACAAAUUGUAAAAAGAGCAGGAACCGUUUAUGAAAGAUAUUCCCAGGCUUUUCAUAAAAGAAGAAAAUCAGGAAAGUAUUAAGUCAGAAGAGAGAUAAGACUUUAAGGAAUGAAUGGUGUAGAAAGAAAAUGACACUGAGAAGAGGAAUGGCUGAUUGGGUGAGAGGUUUGAUUAGUGUGUUGCAGGGACAAAAUCAUCUGCAGAUAACCAGAAAUUCCUGUUUUUUUUCUUUUUGUUUUGCCAUUAUGCUUGAUAGCCAUGUCACUUUGGGUAAGUUAGUUAUCUCUCUAAUAUUUAUGUUCCUUAUUUAUAAUCUGGAGAAAGUAUGAAUUUCUCCAUAUGGUUGCUAUAAAGGAGUCACUGUUUGUAAAACUGUGAAGGCACACCAUGUCCAUAUAUGAUAGGUCUUCAAUCAAUAGUUGUUUUCUUCUCUUCUGUUAUGUAUAUUUGACCAAGCACCUUAUAAAUGUAUGUGUAAUAAAAUUCUGGGGUCAUACUUCCUUUAAAGAAUC